UCGCCAGACUCCUACGGGAGGCAGCAGUGGGGAAUAUUGCACAAUGGGGGGAACCCUGAUGCAGCGACGCCGCGUGGGUGAAGGAGCACCUCGGUGCGUAAAGCCCUAUCGGCAGGGAAGAAACAGACGGUACCUGACUAAGAAGCCCCGGCUAACUACGUGCCAGCAGCCGCGGUAAUACGUAGGGGGCAAGCGUUAUCCGGAUUCACUGGGUGUAAAGGGAGCGUAGACGGCGACGCAAGUCUGGAGUGAAAGCCCGGGGCCCAACCCCGGGACUGCUCUGGAAACUGCGUCGCUGGAGUACGGGAGGGGCAGGCGGAAUUCCUGGUGUAGCGGUGAAAUGCGUAGAUAUCAGGAGGAACACCGGCGGCGAAGGCGGCUUACUGGACGGCAACUGACGUUGAGGCCCGAAAGCGUGGGGAGCGAACAGGAUUAGAUACCCCAGUAUC
rnacentral:rRNA from 1 species